rnacentral:rRNA from 1 species
GAUGAACGCUGGCGGCGUGCCUAAUACAUGCAAGUCGAGCGAACAGACGAGGAGCUUGCUCCUCUGACGUUAGCGGCGGACGGGUGAGUAACACGUGGAUAACCUACCUAUAAGACUGGGAUAACUUCGGGAAACCGGAGAUAAUACCGGAUAAUAUAUUGAACCGCAUGGUUCAAUAGUGAAAGACGGUUUUGCUGUCACUUAUAGAUGGAUCCGCGCCGCAUUAGCUAGUUGGUAAGGUAACGGCUUACCAAGGGAACGAUGCGUAGCCGACCUGAGAGGGUGAUCGGCCACACGGGAACUGAGACACGGUCCAGACUCCUACGGGAGGCAGCAGUAGGGAAUCUUCCGCAAUGGGCGAAAGCCUGACGGAGCAACGCCGCGUGAGUGAUGAAGGUCUUCGGAUCGUAAAACUCUGUUAUUAGGGAAGAACAAAUGUGUAAGUAACUAUGCACGUCUUGACGGUACCUAAUCAGAAAGCCACGGCUAACUACGUG